rnacentral:misc_RNA from 1 species
UGAUGUUGCCAAAUUGCUUUGGGUU